CCAAAGUCAUGGUUAAGUGGGAAACGAUGUGGGAAGGCACAGACAGCCAGGAUGUUGGCUUAGAAGCAGCCAUCAUUUAAAGAAAGCGUAAUAGCUCACUGGUCGAGUCGGCCUGCGCGGAAGAUGUAACGGGGCUAAACCAUGCACCGAAGCUGCGGCAGCGACACUAUGUGUUGUUGGGUAGGGGAGCGUUCUGUAAGCCUGCGAAGGUGACCUGUGAGGGUUGCUGGAGGUAUCAGAAGUGCGAAUGCUGACAUAAGUAACGAUAAAGCGGGUGAAAGCCCGCUCGCCGGAAGACCAAGGGUUCCUGUCCAACGUUAAUC
rnacentral:rRNA from 1 species